GUUCGGGCCUCAGAGAGAAGAUGAAUUGUAAGCAAAAUUCAAAAAUCACGAUUCUGGGGAAAGAGACCCCCAAAUCCAGAGCCCUGUAGUACCAGCCCUGCUAGUUCAACUGAAGGCUGCAGCAUGCCCUGAUCUAAACGGGAAAACACAACAAGGAAAAUAUCAGAAGCACAAGCCAGAGCUGUUGUCCUCCUUACUCAUCCACUCAUCCAUCAAGAUAAGUCAGCUCUCAACCAACAAGCAACUUAGCCGCUGACACACUGCCAGCUGGUCCCAUCAAGUCAGGUGGCAUGGGUCACCCAACAAGCUGCCUGUUGGAAUAGCUGGCUGUUACAUAGCCUGUUAAGAACCAGGCGAACAAGACCACCAAAAUGUGGCAGCUGCUGUCCAGACAAGACACCUUCAGGCAGAGCUGGGUGCAGCCCGGUGACUCGUGCAGACAACAUCUGGGUUUUAGUUGGAAGACGGCCUCUGCGUUGGAUGAAGCUCUUCCCACAGAAUGGCCUCUUCUCUGGUCUGGAAUCUGCUAGGACUCCAUCUUCCCACACUGGGUCCAUGCAUGGUGUCCAGAAGAUCAAAUCCUAUAUGUUGGAGUGUAUGCGUUCUGGAUAAGUUACGGAAAAGGCACAAGGAGGCAGAGGGACCCGAGGUCCCAGGACCUCAGACACAAGAACUGAUUUCUUAGCAGUGUAGCUGGUCUGUUUCAACAUAGGUAUCAGUUUUGGUGUUCUGUUUUCUCACAGCACCCCCACCAGUAAUGAAAGACUGGGCUAUUGUAGGGAACUCACACUGUGAUUGUGGAA
ensembl:lncRNA